rnacentral:lncRNA from 1 species
AUGCCAGCAAAUGUGGAAAACUCAGCAGUGGCCACAGGACUGGAAAAGGUCAGUUUUCAUUCCAAUCCCAAAGAAAGGCAAUGCAAAAAAUGCUCAAACUACCACACAAUUGCACUCAUCUCACAUGCUAGUAAAGUCAUGCUCAAAAUUCUCCAAGCCAAGCUUCAGCAAUAUGCGAACCGUGAACUCCCUGAUGUUAAAGCUGGUUUUAGAAAAGGCAGAGGAACCAGAGAUCAAAUUGCCAACAUCCGCUGGAUCAUGGAAAAAAUAAGAGAGUUCCAGAAAAACAUCUAUUUCUGCUUUAUUGACUAUGCCAAAGCCUUUGACUGUGUGGAUCACAAUCAACAGUGGAAAAUUCUGAAAGAGAUGGGAAUAUCAGACCACCUGACCUGCUUCUUGAGAAAUUUGUAUGCAGGUCAGGAAGCAACAGUUAGAACUGGACAUGGAAAAACAGACUGGUUCCAAAUAGGAAAAGGAGUACGUCAAGGCUAUAUAUUGUCACCCUGCUUAUUUAACUUAUAUGCAGAGUACAUCAUGAGAAACUCUGGACUGGAAGAAACACAAGCCGGAAUCAAGAUUGCUGGGAGAAAUAUCAAUAACCUCGGAUAUGCAGAUGACAGCACCCUUAUGGCAGAAAGUGAAGAGGACCUAAAAAGCCUCUUGAUGAGAGUGAAAGAGGAGAGUGAAAAAGUUGGCUUAAAGCUCAACAUUCAGAAAACGAAGAUCAUGGCAUCUGGUCCCAUCACUUCAUGGGAAAUAGAUGGGGAAACAGUGGAAACAGUGUCAGACUUUAUUUUUUUGGGCUCCAAAAUCACUGCAGAUUGUGAUUACAGCCAUGAAAUUAAAAGACAUUUACUCCUUGGAAGAAAAGUUAUGACCAACCUGGAUAGUAUAUUCAAAAGCAGAGACAUUACUUUGCUGACUAAAGUCCGUCUAGUCAAGGCUGCGGUUUUUCCAGUGGUCAUGUAUGGAUGUGAGAGUUGGACUGUGAAGAAGGCUGAGGGCCAAAGAAUUGAUGGGUUUGAACUGUGGUGUUGGGAGAAGACUCUUGAGAGUCCCUUGGACUGCAAGGAGCUCCAACCAGUCCAUUCUGAAGGAGAUCAGCCCUGGGAUUUCUUUGAAAGGAAUGUUGCUAAAGCUGAAGCUCAAGUACUUUGGCCACCUCAUGCGAAGAUUUGA